rnacentral:rRNA from 1 species
CACAUGACUGGGCGCAAGCCUGCUGCAGCCUGCCGCGUUGUGUGAAGAAGGCCUUCGGGUUGUAAAGCACUCUCAGUCAGGAGGAAAGGUUAGUAGUUAAUACCUGCUAGCUGUGACGUUACUGACAGAAGAAGCACCGGCUAACUCCGUGCCAGCAGCCGCGGUAAUACGGAGGGUGCGAGCGUUAAUCGGAAUCACUGGGCGUAAAGCGUACGCAGGCGGUUUGUUAAGCGAGAUGUGAAAGCCCCGGGCUCAACCUGGGAACUGCAUUUCGAACUGGCAAACUAGAGUGUGAUAGAGGGUGGUAGAAUUUCAGGUGUAGCGGUGAAAUGCGUAGAGAUCUGAAGGAAUACCGAUGGCGAAGGCAGCCACCUGGGUCAACACUGACGCUCAUGUACGAAA